rnacentral:rRNA from 1 species
GUCCUACGGGGGGCAGCAGUGAGGAAUAUUGGUCAAUGGCCGCAGGGCUGAACCAGCCAAGUCGCGUGAGGGAUGACGGUCCUAUGGAUUGUAAACUGCUUUUAUACGGGAAUAACGCGCCUUACGUGUAGGGCUUUGCAUGUACCGUAUGAAUAAGGACCGGCUAAUUCCGUGCCAGCAGCCGCGGUAAUACGGAAGGUCCGGGCGUUAUCCGGAUUUAUUGGGUUUAAAGGGAGCGUAGGCC